rnacentral:tRNA from 1 species
GGGCCCGUGGUGUAAUAGAAACAUCUUGGUGUUGGUACCCAAGGAAGCGAGUGCGAUUCUCGUCGGGUCCA